CCCCCCCCCCCCCCCCCCCAAGCCUUUGAAAUAUCUAAUAGUGAAGAAGGAUCGCAAAUAUUUCUUAUACAUUUUUGAAGGACAUUGACUGACGUCUUUUAUAACUGAUACAUAAACAAAAUACUGUAGAGAAAUGUAGUAGUGAUUAACGUUUAGUCAGUAUUACUACAUAGCCUGAGCUAGAAUUAAAUCUGGGAUUAGUGGAAGAUAUUUAUAUUAGUGAUUAUGAAAGAACUAUCAUUUUUUCCAAGUAAUGUGUGAACAAAAGCAAGAUGUAUAAUAAUUAUGUCAAUAAUACUUUGAUCUCUGCAAUGGGUUGACAGAUAUUAUUGUGUAUAUUUCAUUAGACUAGAAUAUCAUACAGGAAUGGAGUUAGUCACAAUAUGACCAUGGCAAAGAUCAGUUCAUUAGGUUACAAGAAUUAUGAUAAGAACACGGUGAUAACAUCAAGUAAAAUGAAGUGUAAAAUGUGGUUGAUUGACUCUGUCUUUUAGCCCAUGUUUUGGUUUUUUUAAAAUGCACAGUUAAACAAUAUAGUACAUGAGGAGCUGACAUUGACUCUCUGCAUCCUUUUGUAAACACCUCAUCAUACAACAUUAUGAUUACAACUAAUUAGAAAUACAAAAUAAACACAUUAGAUGAUAUAACUCCAUAAAUGCUAAGUGUUAUGAGACAUUUAGAAAAAGGGGACUUAAAAGAAAUCAAUGUGUCAUUAUCUCAGUUGAAAAAUCAACUGAAGAACACAAAGGCUUAGUUUUCUGGUGCUGAUACUUAACUCAAAAGAAUUAGUCAUU